rnacentral:rRNA from 1 species
GACGAACGCUGGCGGCGUGCCUAAUACAUGCAAGUCGAGCGAAGUUUUUCUGGUGCUUGCACCGGAAAAACUUAGCGGCGAACGGGUGAGUAACACGUAAAGAACCUGCCUCAUAGACUGGGACAACUAUUGGGAACGAUAGCUAAUACCGGAUAAUAGCAUUAACUGCAUGGUUGAUGUUUAAAAGUUGGUUUUGCUAACACUAUGAGAUGGCUUUGCGGUGCAUUAGCUAGUUGGUGGGGUAAAGGCCUACCAAGGCGACGAUGCAUAGCCGACCUGAGAGGGUGAUCGGCCACACUGGGACUGAGACACGGCCCAGACUCCUACGGGAGGCAGCAGUAGGGAAUCUUCCGCAAUGGGCGAAAGCCUGACGGAGCAACGCCGCGUGAGUGAAGAAGGAUUUCGGUUCGUAAAGCUCUGUUGUUAGGGAAGAAUGAUUGUGUAGUAACUAUACACAGUAGAGACGGUACCUAACCAGAAAGCCACGGCUAACUACGUA